rnacentral:rRNA from 1 species
CCCUUCGAUGUUCGGAGCUGCACGCGCGCUACACUGUGGGUGGCAGCAUGUUAGCUUGCCUCGCUCGCAAGAGUGGGGUAAUCGUUUGAAAAUCCCACGUGAUUGGGAUAGGGACUUGUAAUUAUUUCCCUUGAACGAGGAAUCCCUAGUAAGUGCAGGUCAUCAGCUUGCAUUGAUUACGUCCCUGCCCUUUGUACACACCGCCCGUCGCACCUACCGAUUGAAUGGUCCGGUGAAAUCUCGGGACGGCGGCUUGGUCGCUUGCGUCCGACUGCUGAAACUUGAUUAAACCAUAUCAUUUAGAGGAAGGUGAAGUCGUAACA